GGCGUAAAGCGCACGCAGCGGGUUUGUUGAAGUCAGAUGUGAAAAUCCCCGGGCUUAACCCGGGAAUUGCAUUUGAUACUGGUCAGCUAGAGUCUUGUAGAGGGGGGUAGAAUUCCAGGUGUAGCGGUGAAAUGCGUAGAGAUCUGGAGGAAUACCGGUGGCGAAGGCGGCCCCCUGGACGAAGACUGACGCUCAGGUGCGAAAGCGUGGGGAGCAAACAGGAUUAGAUACCCUGGUAGUCCACGCUGUAACGAUGUCGUUUUGGAGGUUGUGCCCUUGAGGCGUGGCUUCCGAAGCUUCGCGUUAAGUCGUCCGCCUGGAGAGUACGGCCGCAAGGUUUUUCUCAAAUGAAUACGGGGGCCCGCUCAUGCGGUGGUGCAUGUGGUUUUUUUCGUUGCUUCGGGUGUACUUACCUACUCUUGAAUCCAGUGACUUUCCGUGUUGGUUUGGUGCCUUAGGAACUCUGUGAAAGGUGCUGCAUGGCUGACGACAGCUCGUGAUGUAAAAUGGAUGGGGAUAAAUCCCGCAAACGUGCGCUCCCCUUUUCCUUUUGUUGACAAACGAAUCAUGCGGGAAACCCCAAGGGGUACUGGCCGG
rnacentral:rRNA from 1 species